rnacentral:rRNA from 1 species
UACGUAGGGUGCGAGCGUUAAUCGGAAUUACUGGGCGUAAAGCGUGCGCAGGCGGUUUUGUAAGUCAGAUGUGAAAUCCCCGGGCUUAACCUGGGAACUGCGUUUGAAACUACAAGGCUAGAGUGUGGCAGAGGGGGGUAGAAUUCCACGUGUAGCAGUGAAAUGCGUAGAGAUGUGGAGGAACACCGAUGGCGAAGGCAGCCCCCUGGGUCAAGACUGACGCUCAUGCACGAAAGCGUGGGGAGCAAACAGG